UGGUAUUUUAACUAUACAAAGGUAUUGUAAUAAGAUUUUAAUUGAAUGCUAAAAGAAUGGAAGUUUAAGAAAAAACUUUUUUAAAAAUAAAAAUUAAAUUUUUUUUAAUUUGUGCAAAACCAAUUAUUUAUAUUAAAGACAAGAAGACCCUAUGAAUUUAUGAUUAAAUAAACUAAAAAUUUUUAGUUUAUUUAAUCUUGAUUGGGGCAAUCAAAAAAUAUUAAUAACUUUUUUAAAUUUAAAUGAUCUAUUAUUAAUAAUCUAAUGGAAUAAAUACUCUAGGGAUAACAGCGUAAUAAUUUUUGAUAGAUCUUAUAGACAAAAUAGUUUGCGACCUCGA
rnacentral:rRNA from 1 species